rnacentral:rRNA from 1 species
UGAGGAAUAUUGGUCAAUGGGCGCAAGCCUGAACCAGCCAUCCCGCGUGAAGGAAGAAGGCGCUAUGCGUCGUAAACUUCUUUUCCAGGGGGAGAAUUUUCCGGUCGUGACCGGAAUUGACGGUACUCUGGGAAUAAGCAUCGGCUAACUCCGUGCCAGCAGCCGCGGUAAUACGGAGGAUGCGAGCGUUAUCAGGAUUUAUUGGGUUUAAAGGGUGCGUAGGCGGAUCAAUAAGUCAGUGGUGAAAUUAUGCAGCUUAACUGUAGGCGUGCCAUUUAUACUGUUGGUCUUGAGUAUGGUCAAGGUAGGCGGAAUGUGUAGUGUAGCGGUGAAAUGCUUAGAUAUUACACAGAACACCGAUUGCGAAGGCAGCUUGCUGGGCCAAUACUGACGCUGAUGCACGAAAGCGUGGGGAUCGAACA